UACGAAGGGGGCUAGCGUUGCUCGGAAUGACUGGGCGUAAAGGGCGCGUAGGCGGUUUGUACAGUCAGGUGUGAAAUUCCCGGGCUCAACCUGGGGGCUGCACUUGAUACGUAUGGACUGGAGUGGGGAAGAGGGUCGUGGAAUUCCCAGUGUAGAGGUGAAAUUCGUAGAUAUUGGGAAGAACACCGGUGGCGAAGGCGGCGACCUGGUCCUUGACUGACGCUGAGGCGCGAAGGCCAGGGGAGCAAACGGG
rnacentral:rRNA from 1 species